CUGGAAUUCCUGGGGUUCUCCCCUUUCAAUGUGCCAUUUCCUCUCACCCAGGUGUCCCUGUUCAUCUCCCAGGUAGGCCUGGUGAUGCUCCUUGGCCCCCAGCCAGGCAGUUGUUGAUGUGGGCAGCCCCAGCAGCAGCAGAGCUGUGGCAAGCCCCUCCAGCUUUGGUCAGGGAGCCCCGCUUCUCACAACAAACCUCGCCUGGGCCCUGGAAUCUUGCCGACUUCAGCAAAUGUUUACACCUGCUUCUCCAUGGAGCAAGAAUCUAAGCAAGGAAUCUGACAAACAAAACAAAGGAGUGAGAGCACGGCGGGGAGCAGGGCGGCGGCCUUAGCUGCUUUUUUCUUUCCAGAGAACUGCCUGUUUCCUCAAACAUUUUCUGGGCCCCUUGCCUGAGUUUUCAGCUUUCCCCUUGCCAGCUGCCCAUGGUCCCAGUGCUUAGGGUAUAAUUUUUUUUCUGGCUAGUCAUCCUCCACUCAAAGAUUAGCCCCACUCAAGAAAGGGCAUCAUUCCCAUAGCAGAUUUCCAUCACCAUCCUAAGGUCCAAGGUUACUGCUAAGAAGGCAGUUGUGUACAAGGCUUGCCUGACUGACAUCUUUGGUUUGAGGAGGUGGAUUGCUGACCAGAACUCUAACAUCGGGCCGAUCUUGAGCAAGCUUUGUCCUUCUCGGCACGCCUAAACCAUUUAUCAAAAUGUUUAUCACCAUUCUCCAUGGAGAUCAUGAAAAGACCCUAUUUAAUUCUCACUGCAAAGUAGAGGCGCUAUUGAACAGUAUCAAGCAGUGCUGUGGCUGUGAGCCCGAAGGGAUGAUUGAACUGGCAGAUGAGAGUGGUCAGUUGAAAAACCUUCUCCAGUACCCUCAACUCUAUGCAUCUGAACUGCUGAAGCCCCGAGAAACCUAUAUCCCUUUUACUGUAAAACGACCUGAAGGUUCAUCAGAGCCAGUCUUUGUGGCGCUAUUAAAAGAUGAUGAAGUUAUUGACUCUAAAUUACUAGCUACCCUGAGGCUUGCAGGAAACUCCAACUCCCCAGUGUCUGAGAAGCAACCAAAAUCUGGGAAGACCAAGAGAAAAACCUUGACUUCUGAAGCUCGGAGCCGAAAGGCAAACUGAGAACCUCCCCAAGGAGCAACAGGAGGCAGGAUGGGACCUAGGGAGAUGUGCUGAAUUCAGAGUUGGCGGACAUGGGUUUGAAUCCUGACCCUGCCACAAAUGACCUUUGUGACCUUGAACAAAUCCCUUUACCCUCUCUGGGCCUCAGUUUCCUCAUCUAUAAAAUGAAGGGGAUGGAUAAAAGAUCUCUAAGAUCCCAUCAGGCUUUAACUCUAUGAAACUAGAGCAGAAUCAUGUCUAUAUCAUGUCCUUUAUGCGGGAUGGGGAGACACUGUGAAAGGGCAUUAUGGCAAAGCAUCUGCUUUAGCUGGUAGUAAAACAUUUCUACAAUCUGUAAUAAAUAACAUUUGCAUACACUACUAAGCUAGAAA
rnacentral:lncRNA from 1 species